rnacentral:rRNA from 1 species
GACGAACGCUGGCGGCGUGCUUAACACAUGCAAGUCGAACGAUGAACCACUUCGGUGGGGAUUAGUGGCGAACGGGUGAGUAACACGUGGGCAAUCUGCCCUUCACUCUGGGACAAGCCCUGGAAACGGGGUCUAAUACCGGAUACCACUCUCGCGGGCAUCUGCGAGGGUUGAAAGCUCCGGCGGUGAAGGAUGAGCCCGCGGCCUAUCAGCUUGUUGGUGAGGUAANGGCUCACCAAGGCGACGACGGGUAGCCGGCCUGAGAGGGCGACCGGCCACACUGGGACUGAGACACGGCCCAGACUCCUACGGGAGGCAGCAGUGGGGAAUAUUGCACAAUGGGCGAAAGCCUGAUGCAGCGACGCCGCGUGAGGGAUGACGGCCU